rnacentral:tRNA from 1 species
GGAGGAGUGGCCGAGUGGUCGAAGGCGGCGGUCUUGAAAACCGCAGUGCGGGCAACCGCACCGGGGGUUCGAAUCCCUCCUCCUCCGCCA